AUUAUCCUCAUAAGUUUGACAAUAAGAGGAACCGUUAAUAUUUUAAUAAUAUUACUAAAUAAUAAUAUUAUUAAAAUGUAAUACGGUGUCACAAAAUCGGAGGCCACGACUGUUUACUAAAAACACAGAUCGCUGCAAUGAUAAAUAUCAUAGUAUAGCGGUCGAAAUUUGCCCGAUGCCAUUAAUAUAAGAGAGGUAAUGGGAAACUGUUACUAAUCGAAAAUCUGGUUAAUAGCGGUCUUAAUCAUGAGGAUCCUAAGGUAGCAAAAUAAAUUGGCCAUUAAAUGUGGUCCGGUAUCAAUAAUGUAACGAUGGCCUCACUGUCUCUACAACUUGCUCAGUGAAAUUGAAUUACCCGUGCAGAUGCGGGUUACCUCCAGGUGGACGGGAAGACCCUAUGC
rnacentral:rRNA from 1 species